UACGGAGGGUGCGAGCGUUAUUCGGAAUUACUGGGCGUAAAGGGCGUGCAGGCGGCCGAGCAAGUCUGAUGUGAAAGCCCGGGGCUUAACCCCGGAAGUGCAUUGGAAACUGCUCGGCUUGAGUACUGGAGAGGAAGGGAGAAUUCCCGGUGUAGAGGUGAAAUUCGUAGAGAUCGGGAGGAACACCAGUGGCGAAGGCGCCCUUCUGGACAGCUACUGACGCUGAGACGCGAAAGCGUGGGGAGCAAACAGG
rnacentral:rRNA from 1 species